AUUUAAAUAGUUUAAGUAAAAAUAGUGAUUUGUGGGGUCAUUGAUGUUAAUUAACUUUAAAUU
rnacentral:tRNA from 1 species